rnacentral:snRNA from 1 species
AUACCUUUCUCGGCCUUUUGGCUAAGAUCAAGUGUAGUAUCUGUUCUUAUCAGUUUAAUAUCUGAUACGUGGGCCAUCGGUCCACAUGGUAUUAAAUUUAUUUUUCUAGGGGGAAGACCCGCCACUGUAGCUUGCUACUGGGUUCUCGUGCGUCUCCCAUGCGUUGCACUACUGCACGGGCCUGGCGCACCCCAC